rnacentral:miRNA from 1 species
CAAACAGAGUCCAAAGUAUUC